CCCGGUCAGGAAGCCAGAGGAACCUGUAUUUUUAAAUUCAGGUUUUUAAAAAGCACCUGUUUUAAGGUGGUGGAGGGAGAGAGGAUGUGGUGGGUGGACAGGGCAGAUUAAGAGAAGCAGAGAAGCAGGCCCAUGGCCUCUACCAAGGGCACUGUGUCGUGGAGUGGAGGACCUAGUCUAGAAGGAAAAAAAGCAUCAAGGAGCUUGGAUCGCCAUACUCACAGUUGGCAUGCUUCUACAUAUGGGGAUAAAAUCCUGCUGAAGAUUCAAUUUUUGUUCAAGAGUAUAAUUUUUUGAAGAAGGAAACUGCAGGGCCUUCUAUGGCGUUGUCUCCCUUCAUUUUUUUUUAUGAGAAAAUUAAUAUUUAGAUUGACUUGUCCUCCUCACUGCCUUUCGGAUAGAGUCAUUCAUGGAAUGACAGGACUAGCACUGAGUCACUUGGGUAUUGAUAACCCUACACACAAUCACUUUCAGAAUUGCUGUGCCUUUAUGCUUUCAGAAAGUUGGCCUCAUUCUCUGAAGCUCAUGUCCUGUUGAUCAUAAUUGCUUCUGACUUAAAAUUACCUAUAGUCACCAUAAGAUGCCUCCUGGGGACAAAAGAGAAAUAAAUACCGUAAAUAUCUGACAAUAGGUAUUAACAAUAAACCCACUUAAAGAUUAACUGACAUUAGACUAAGACGAAGCUGCAUAUCUAUAUAUGAAUAAAUAUAAAAUGUACUUAUUGUGCUGGGAUUAUAAUUAAUACUAAAAUAAAAUUUAUGGCCAGUAUACUGAAGCAUAAAUGAUGAAGAUCUGCGAACUUUUAAUCAAGGAAAAAUAGAAUUAGCUGAACGGUGAGAUGGAUUGUAGUUAUUUCACCACCUGUUCCAAAAGCAAAUUCUACAUGCAAAUAUCUUAAAACCAAGUUGGCGGUGUUUUCUGAAACACGUUGGAAAGUUAUGGCUAUGGGUUGAAGACCGUCUACUGUGCUAGGUGUGUUUGGACAGACAAUACCUCUUAGGCACCUUCUGCAUCUCAGAGGUGCAGGGUGCAUUCCAGGUCCUCAAAAUGCACUUUCUGGAUAGUGAGACCCCUAAGUGUGGCCAUGAAUAAUCUCGGUUUUAUUGGCUGAAUUCUAAUAUCAAAAUUACAUUAAAAUUUUAGUGGCUGAGCUGGACCUUGUAGACCAGAAACACUGGCUUCCAAAAUUUGAGAUUUAAUUUCUAAAAUUUUAAGCCAUGCAUGCUCAGAAGAAAGUCUAUAAAAUGUACCUGAAGUUGGAAGUGAACGCCACGUGGGACAUUUAAGUGGAGAAAGAGAUUGUUUUUAAACAAGAUUUUAAAUUCAAGUAACUGGCUAAUUUGGUCUGAGGUCAAUUACAGGUGAUCAAAGAGGGAAGUUUGUUAUUCGGCAGCUUUCAAAUGAAUAGCUUUAGUCAACAAAUACAAUUCGAAAACAUUUUCAUGUGUACGUAUUAAAAGGCAUAAACCUUUGGCUAGUACCACGUAGCCAUUGAAAUGGCCAUAACAAACGGCACCUUUAAUUUGCCAAGUAAUUUCAGAUUCUUAGUCAAAAAGAAUCUCUCUUGCUUGAACUUUACUUCUCUGGACUGUACAUAUAUCAGAGAUGUGAUCAUUGAAACUCUAAAAGAUUAUUUGUUUCUUUUAGUAGCAUAGCAGAAAAUUAAUGGCGUGGGGGAGGGGGAAGUGACAACUUAAGUUGAUGCUUGAUAGCUGUUUACUUAUAAAUGUGUGUCCAGAUUUCAGUGUCCUGUAAAAGAAAGGGAAAAUAAAGAAACCAAAGCAUUCAUGUGGCUUUUAUGCAACUUAGGACACAUGGAAGAAAGUGCUUAGAAGGCUAGUGAAAUAUUUACUAAACAAAUCAUUUACAUUAAACUUUUGUAUAUGCAAAACCCAGAGCACCUACAAAAAGAGAAACAACUUUAGCCAUAAGGAAUAUUUCGGCAUCAAAAUGGUUAAUAGUAUUAUAGCUUCAAAAGAGCCUAUUGGCUCACCCUCAAGGAUGCCCUGCAGUUGUUGUGAAAGUCAUCAGAUGAAGCUAGCCUUCUCAGCUAGCCUUUAGAUUUGUCUGCUAACAGUAAAAAUACUAUAAUAAAUCGGUAACAUAUGUUGCCAGGCAAGGAAAAGUGAUAUAAAUAAAGAGACUAGGAGACCCAAACCAAGUACAAUGUGAAAAGAAUUUAACUUUCAAUCUAUGCAUUGGCUAAUUAUCAUUUGAAAAGUAAUUUGAAAGUGUUACAGUUAUUUGCUUAUAUUCUUCCUCAUUUUUCUUUUUUUCUCUUCAGAUUGCAUUCUUACCCAAAUACUCUUCGUGAUUGCCUGCUUUGCGGCUUUGGGGAUCAAGAGUGUGUGAAAGUGUGCAUUGCAAACGAGGCUCCCAUCAAGAAAGCCACCUCUGGAAUGGAAAUGACAAAGCUUGGAACACACACAAUCAAUUAUUUUCACUAGCAUUUAAAAUAUAGAAAACAAAAUCUGCUUUGGGAAUUGACUGAAUAUUUUAUUUAGCUUUUUUAUUGAGACAUCCUUUGAAAAAUGGCAUAAUAUAAAUAGUUUUACAAAGCAACAAUAUAAUCAAUCUCUAAACUAGAAUAUAAAUCAAGGAUUUCAUUAACUGCUAGUAGCCAGUUUAAAUUGUAGUCUUGUCCAUAAUGUCUAUCUAUCUAUGUAUGUCCAAGUUAUAUUAAAAACCUUUAAAUGGCUUUGUAAUAUCAGCUACAUCUAGCUAUUAUAAUAAUUAAUGGUACUGUUUUAUAAAUCAAUACAUGUAUUCUUGAUAAAUUCAUAUCCAGUUAAUGGUGUAAUUUAAAUAAAAAAUUAAUGUAAUAAAGGACAUACAGAAACAGGCAGGAAAUCUUUAAAGGUUAAGAGACAAAUUUGUCUAAAUUCAUUUUUAAGCCAUUUUGAAAAAGUUUAUACUUAAAAUCAGCUGAGAUUUACCUUGUUUCUGUAAAACUAAUUUUGCUGUGUCUGUUGGUAUCCAGUAAUGAAUCCGUGCAUUAUUUUCUUUUUUAACUGUUAAGUUUUAAUUACAUACUUAUGAUACUAUGAGAUAUGUUAUUACCGUUAUACUCUUUUGCAAUUAUUGAAUAUUCUUUAAAAAAAUAGAACAAAACUAAAAAUCUCAAGCCAGUAAUUUAUUUUUAAUACAUGAAUGAAAUGUAAAUGCUCUCUCUCUAUUUUUUAUAUCUAUAAGCAAACGGUUCUGAGAAUCUCCAAAGCUAUAUACAAAUUUUAUUUAAGGUGAAAAAGGACUGAUUAGCUCAAUAAAUUUGCAUGCGCAAAAGCGCAGCGUUUUUACUGCUUUCACUGAAUGAACAUCCUAGGAAUUUGAGAAAGAAAAGAAAAAUGCUUUGAAGAGUCUGAAAUGUAUUUUAACGCUGCACACGGGUGGAGAAACAUGUUACAAAGAGAAGAGUGUAUUAUCGUUCUGAUUUAAAAAAUACAUACCAAAGGCAUCUUAAGGAAUAACAGGAUCUAGAAAAACAACUGGAUGUUGUAUGUUAUCAAAUACAAUCUUAAAUCUUUCCAAAUAAAAUUUCAUUUGGUUUCUAGAGUAAGCAUUUUACACGAGAUAUCUUUCAGAAUUAUGCAGACCAGUCUGCCCUGCCAUUCUCCGUGACAUGGUGCAGAAAUGUUACUUUAAUCCACUGAGCUUUUUCUGACAUUUUUCUUAACAUUGCUGAGCCUUAUUUAGAGCAGCAAAGGAGACGUGUGCAGUUUCCUUUGACACUGAUGGGUGUUUCAAAAUGUUACGAGAGAGAGAGAGAGAGAGAGAGAGAGAGAGAAAGAGACAGAGACAGAGACGGAGAGAGAGCGCGAGAGAGAAAAGAUUUGCUGCCAGUCACUUUAUCAAUAGAGCUACAGGAGCAAUUACUAUUUGUUAAAAGUUUACAUUUCAGAUGAAGCUAAAUUUUAAAGAAGGCUCAUCCUUUUAAAAGCCUGCUGCUUGGAAGAGGGGGGAAGAGAAUGCACGGUAGUGAUCACAUGUUAAAGUGCGCUCAAGUACUGGAACCAUUUAAAAUGUAUUGUGUUUUUAGACGAAGCCUACAGCAAAACCACUCCUAAGAGGCUUAAUUUAGGUUUUAUAGGAGGAACAUAAAAAAGACCAGGUUACAGCAACACGCUGAAAUAUGGGGUACAUUUUAAAUAUCUUCAUUUAAAAACGUAUGUUUAUUUUCCCUCCUGGGAUCACUAACAUGUGUCUCGACAGAGAAAGCAAGGACAUGCUACAUUCUUAAAAAUUAUCUGUUAAAGGGAUCACAUUCCAAGACAGGUUUGAGCAUUUUUAUUACUACCGAUAACCUCUUAAUUAUGUCACUGCCUUCCACUUGUUAAUCAGGGACAUUCAACAUGGUUAACCAGUGAGCGGUUGCCUUUCGUCGACUUCAUUAUUAUUAGGAAUUAAAAACUCAUUCUAUUCCCAUCAUCAUGUUUUUGCAUCUAUGAUUUUAGCACUGCCAGAAACUUACCUGCUUUAAAUACAGAACACCUAAGAAAAGGUCUAGAUGCCCAUAACAAUGUUGUUAAUUACUUCUAGGUGCAGCUCAUGGAAAGCUUUAAGAGAUGGAUAAUUUUACUUUUCCUGUCUUGCCCCCCUCCCCCAGCCCCGCUGCCUCCCCCACAUCUCCCACAAUUCCUAUUUGAACCAAUUUUAGGUUCCUUGUGCAGCCACCAGCGUCUGCGAUACUCAGAGACUUUUUUCAGAGAGCACGGUGUAAGUGGGGUAAAUAAAAUCAUGUUUCACUGUUGCUUUAUCAACCCUCCUAGGUAGUUUUCCUGCCAGCCAACCUGCACUGUUAAGACCCAGAAAAUUAUGCAAUAGUGACUUCUUUGAGGUUCUCUAAUCAGAUGAUGGCCAGUGUUAGGAGGGGAAGGGCCCAAGGCAAUGUUGCUGGCACUUAAUGCUGGGCUUGGUCAUUACUUGUCUGGUAGAGACCAAUAAACAGAUGAUUACUAUCCUAUAAGGAGCCAAUAUUUUACAUUUAUCCUAGUUAUAUCUUUUCUUUUCAACGUCUUAUAACAGAAAGUAUUUGUCAAGAUCUAUGAGGAAUAACCUCACCGGCCCCUUAAAAAUAAGAAUUUUCCUAGCGUGAAAUGAUGCUUUUUGUGCAAUGGUGAGAAUGAUUUUGGUUUUUAUAAGAGCAAAGGUUUGAUUACUUUAAAGUAGUUCUCUGUCAGAUGUGGACAGUCCCAGACCCCAUCCCCCACUCCCAUGUCCCCCUCUCUCCUCUACGACAGGUUCACAGGCUGCAACCAAGGGGUUUUAAAAUGCAAAUAUUUAUAUUGGAGCUCUGGCAAUAACAGAGUCGUUUUGCUUCCUCUGUUAGCCUGUGAUAAUUGAUGCUUCAUACCUGGAACUACGUUUCAUUUAUCUCUUUACACAUGAAGAUAUUACAUAAAUAAAAGAUAAUUUAUGGAAAGGAAACAGCCAUUUGAAAUAAUAAUCCUAAAUUUGACUGUAUAAUCUUGAAAGGCUUUAAGAGUCAAAGAUGCAGAUUUCUACAGUUUUAAAGAAAACUUGAUCGCACCUGGGAAAUUUGUGCAUUUUUGCACACUUACUGAAUUUGAAUGCCUGCGUGGAUCAAAAACAAAAAAGAGGGAUAAAAGGAAGGCAGGAGAGAAAAGGUGUGGAUUUCACAUGUGCUUUAAACUAAUGCAUUCGCCCACACGUCCACAGACUUCUUGUUACAAUUUUAUUGACUUUUUCUUUAUGUCUGAAAAUAAUUUCUAAAUAGCUAAUCAAAUUGCAAAAUAGUGAGUCUUCUGAAGGGCCUUUUCUUCCCGGGGAUCCUCAUCUUAGAAUGAACAGAGGUAUUCCCAGAACCGGACCCUGAUCUCACAACCUCAUACAAAGCCAGGCAAUUCUUGAGCCAAACAAACAAAGGGUGUGUAAGCGAUUUCAUUUAUUUUGAUAAUCCUCCUCUUGCACAGGAGCAUCUUGCUGUCUUUGUCAAAGUGAAUGACAACAAUUUGGCUAACUCUCUCUGAGCUGCGCUCAACAGUGACAGGCAAAUUAUCAGAGGCCCUGCACUUCUUAUUAUCAGAGGAGAAGCCAUCAGGGGGACGCAUGGAGGAUACCUCUCCCUUGUCACUAUUUGUCAGUGGGACAAGGGCCACUGCUAUGGGUAGCUGACAGGUAAUUUCAACAAUAACAAUUACUCCUAUUACUGGUGUCAUAAACAAUUCGCCCAAGGCAUGACAAUAGCAAAGCUUUAUAAUUCAAUGCCAUAUAAAUAAAUGCCAGCAGGUAACAAGUAAUUUAGCUCCAAUCAAGCUUUCACCCCGGCAUUAAUAUUGUUAUUGCAAGAAAAUAGAAAAUUGAAAAAACUCGAUAUGUUAAUGAAUUAAGAGAGGUUCAAGGGCUAGACGGAGGGGUUGAAAAAGGGAAACCAAAAUUAUUAUGGGAUCAUAUUUGGUGCCAUCCUGAGGGCCAAAGAGCAGCAUCAUUACUAUUAGGUAAGAAGGGGGACCAGAGAUGCUGUUGCCCUCCACUUCAGACCUGGGAAAAAUGUGACAUGGCCUUUCAAAAUCCCCUUUCUCUGAUUUCUGAAGACUGUAAGUAGAAAUAUGAGAACGUGUCUAUAAUGCAGCAUUUCACUGGUUUUUUUUCUUCCCACCUGAAAUAUUUCAUAUGCAGCAGAGGCAUGAGUAUCAAAGGAACAUUUCCGCCUGUUUAAGAAAAUCGCAUCAGCACCUACUUCCUUUACAUUAAGUCUUGUAACAGAAACUGUUUUAACAAGCCUAUUUUUAUCUUUGGUGAAGGUAAUGCCGAAAACCCCUCUUUGCUCUCCAGCUGUCCACCUUUUGGAAGUAGACUAGAGGACACGGUCCAAUCUUCCUCCAUAAAACUUCCCGAUGAAACGAGUCUGCAAUUUCAGUAUUUGUCCAGCAAGACAAUGUGCCAUCAUGGUGACAGCAGUAAAAGAAUUUGAAAAUCUCUAAUUAGGAGAGCUGCGGAGCAAUUAACGCAUGUCAAAUUUUACUUCAUCAAGUGCCACUCUAAUUUUCCUCUAAAAAUUAAUGGAUUUUUUUUUUCUUUUGGUAUGUGUGUGUGUCCCCUUAAGGCAAUGUUGAUUCAAAUCUGCUCAAGAUGCAGUGUUGCACAGCUAAGCAUCUUCUUGAUUACAAUCCGCCACCCUUCUAACUGCGCUCAUUCUCACUGCCACGGAUACUUUGUCAACAGUCAAAUUACACCACGCUGAUAACAAUGCAUAAUGGUGUUCCUCCUCUGAGGCCCCUGGCAGGAGAUGGGGUUCAUAAAAAUGUGAUGUUUUCUUCUCAACUGUUUCUGAAGGAAGUUUGUAUGACCAGGUCAUAGUCAGGCGUUAAUUUUUUGAAAUUAAUUUGUUAAUUUCAAGAAAGGGAAGAUAAUGAUAGACUAUGAAAAUACCUCACUGAAAAAAAAUCAGAGGAAGAAUGAGGAAUUGAGAAUAUCCGUGGCCAAAGUUUUGCUUAAACACUUUGUUCGGAGACAUUUUCAAGAGCACUACUCUUGGUAAAAUACCAGAGUUUUUUUUUUUUUUUUUCUUUACUUAUGAGCUAUAAACAUUGGAAGCCUCUCUUGAACAGACAGUAUUUAGAUUGUGAGAGAAGUUUGUUUAAUUGCCAUAUUUGCCAGAAUCUUCAAAACAUCACAGGACACAGAAGAUAAAUGACUCUUUUUUUUUUUUUUUCCUUUUUUUUAGGGUCAGGACUGUAUCUUCCAGAUAAAUGUUGAUUCAUUUUAACUAUUUUUUAUCCUACUUGCUUGUUGCCGGUUCGUGUGCUUGAGUCAUCAGCACAUAUGAGGAUUAUUUCUCACUGGAAAAUGAGAGAAACAGCAAUUAGAUGAUUUUACAUUCGGUGUAAAAUCAUUUAGAGAUCAGUCAGAUUUCAUAUUUCUAAAACAAUCAGAUCCAAAACAAAAAUGGGGAAAUUAAACAAAAUGCUAAAUGAAUCUCUUUGCAGAUUCCUUCAGGGAAGGGAGACCAUUCACAUGGAUUGACGUGCCAGGUUUCUCAUCGUGUAAGUGUAUUUUUGAUCGGUUUCUUUAAUCCGAUUUAUUUAGUAAAAAAAAGAAAAUCUAAAUUCAUGGCGUAUACGCUUCCUUUUUUCUUUUAAUUCACAGGUUGAAUGUGGUCUCUUCAUUUACCUACAACUAACUCAAAAAUCUUACAUUUGAUAUUUUGAGGUUUGUAUUUCCAAAUAUUAAGAAACUCUUCCCUUCCUUAUGGCCCCUCCCCAGCAUGUCCUGAAGUGGUCUCUUUCAGACAAAAGAGAAUGACAUCCCCCUUUCAACUAGCAAAUGUUGGAUUCCCUAAACCAACUGGGGGUAAACUGGAAGUUUUGCAAUUAGAUUCACACAAGCUGAAUAUGUUCAUUAUCCCCAAACAUUCUCCUUCGAACUUUACAAAUAGAACACUACUGAGUUUAGAGUUUCCUGUGGCUUGUUUACAAAUAAAGGUAUCUUGAUAAAAACCAA